rnacentral:misc_RNA from 1 species
GAUGAAGAACGUAGCGAAAUGCGAUAAGUAAUGCGAAUUGCAGAAUUUCCGUGAGUCAUCGAAUCUUUGAACGCACAUUGCGCCUCCUGGUAUUCCGGGAGGCAUGCCUGUUCGAGCGUCAUUAAAAACCAUCAAGCACUCUUGCUUGGACUUGGGAGAUGAGUGCCUACGGUUCUCACUGCCGAAAUUGAAUGGCGGAUAGCCUUGGAGUGCCCCAGCGUAGUAAGUCUUCUUUCGCUUGGAACCCGAGACGGUCCCGCCCUCAACCCCCACAUUUCUAUGGUUGACCUCGGAUCAGGUAGGGAUACCCGCUGAACUUAAGCAUAUCAAUAAGCGGAGGA